rnacentral:lncRNA from 1 species
GGACAGCCGGGCUGAAGCCAAUGGGAUGGGAUUCAACAAGACCAACUGCCGGGUCCUGCACUUUGGCCGCAAUAAGCCCAGGCAAUGCUACAGGCUUGGGGCAGAGUGGCUGGAAGACUGUGUAGAGGAAAUGGACCCGGGGGUGUUGAAGGCUGUGUAGAGGAAAUGGAGCUGGGGGUGUUGACUGACGCCAGACUGAACAUGAGCCAGCAGUGUGCCCAGGUGGCCAAGAAGGCCAAUGGCAUCCUGGCUUGUAUCAGAAACAGUGUGGCCAGCAGGAACAGGGAAGUGAUUGUCCCCCUGUACUCAGCAC